rnacentral:lncRNA from 1 species
AGACGCCCGCUGGACGUCAACUCGGCCGGACGCGGGGCACGGGCGCUAACAGGCUCCUAGGAGCCUCCCCGGGCGCCCCCCGCCCAGGGCGCGCUCUGCUCACCUGCAGGUUUCGGCGGCUCCGCGGUGACUAACAACAGCGGCAGCAGCAGCAGCAGCAGCAGAAGCGGUGGCGGCUGUGGCAGCCCCGGGCGCCCGCCCGGACCGCCGCGGGUCAUCGCUCCACGGCCGCGACCUUCCUCUGCGGGAUCAGGCGGCCGCGGUGGCCCGCGGUGGCAGAAGUUGCAAGAGAGGCUCCUGGCCUACUCAGGGGCGCCGCCUCUCCGAGGUGGGGCGUCCUCAACUUUCCUCUUUCUUGAGCCCGGCCUGCUCCGGGCUCUGAGGGGCGAGGACGCUUCACGUGGUGGCCUGGGGCCCACCCCGCCUAGGAAAGGCGGAUCCUUUACGUCUGACCCUCUAGCAACCCCUGGGCCGGUCUGGGAAAGUUCCCCAGCUGCACUUCUGGGAAAUGCAGAGGCUGCCUGCCGCUUUCUUUCGCAGUUUUGCGGCCCAAGGCUUGGGCGAAUCAGUUCACAUCAACACCCCUACUAGCCUCUCCCUCCGGGGUCGACCAUUUAUCUCCAGCAGCGGACCAGGCGCCCGGGCCAGGGUGACAUGCGCGCCCUGCCUACACGCAGCUCGGAUCCUCUGCUGUUUCUGGAGAGGCCUCCACAGGUAGAAGCUCCCUGGAACAACUGCUGGAAUAAGGUUCCAGAGUGGAAGGUGGAAGCUCCCUCUUGGGAUAAAGGAUCCACAGUGGAAAAAAAAAAAGUUGCCCUCUGCUGGAAAACAGCAUCUUUGUCCUCUGAGAAAAACAGUCUCCCUUCUUACGGAGGCCAGUGGAUUCCAUCCUAGAGGCUGUGUUGACCGUAUCUCCAAAUAGACAAUAACGAGGCAUCUUGAUUCCCACAACUCCAGCAGCACAGGGACCUGAAAUGAAGGACAGAAAGCAGGAAGUGGAGGCAAUAGAAAUUGCAGAGUAGAGUGAAGACAGGUGGCAUUUCUGGGAUUGGUGCCAUGACAAUGGAAGACAGAAGACAAGACAAAGGCAUAACUUUCCGUAAGCAUUUCAUGGACCAGGCGAAUGCAGCUGGAUGGGGAAGCCUGUGGCACAAGGAGGUUCCAACAAGCAGAACAAAAGCCCAGGCUAGACUAUGCGCUGUGGCAUAUUAGGUAGGAAAUAAGGGUUAUUCAGUCAUGUAUUUGCAUAGAAUGACUGAGUGCAAGGUGUUAACAGUUUCAGAAGUUAAAGAUUAACUCAAAAACUGCAAAGCUGAGUUUUAAGCAAUGCCUGGCUAAAGAUUCAUCUAGAUGACUUCUGAGUUCCUCUCUUACAGGUGUUUUUUCUAUAACACCUGUAACUCAUCUCAAACCUUGAUGUUCAAGGCUGUUGAAUUAAACUAAGUUUGGCCUGAGGCUGCCUCUUAGGGGUCCCUACAAAACAAACUGCAACCUAGCUUGGUACAUAAACAAACUAAAAGCCUAACUAGGGUAUACUUACGUUAUAGAUAGCUGAGUCUCAGCCAAUCGCAGUAGCUGAGCUUCAGCCAGUCACAGGCUGUCAACUGAUGGGACUUUGACCAAAUCAGGGGAACACAGAGGUUUGACCAAUCAAGUUGUUUCUGUCCCUCACUUCUGUUUUCUGUCUAUAAACAUUGCCCGCCCACCUUGCCCAUUGAAGCUCUCUGAACCUCUUCUGGUUUUAAGGGCCAUCUGAUUUGAAAAUUAUUCUUUGCUCAAUCAAACUGUGUUAAAUUUAAUAUGCAUAAGCUUUUCUUUUAACAAGGCUAUGUAACUUUCAUGGUCUUUGAAAGUGACUCAUGUACUUUCUGUAUAACUGCAGUGGCAGGGAAGGGAGGGGGUAUAAAUAUUAUAGAAAUUUCACCAUCUGUUCUUUAUUUCCCCUUGUAGAUAAUCUAAUCCACUUAAGAUACUAUAAUAUUUUAGUGGGAAAAUAUAUUGAAGUUGGGGGUGGGGAGAAAGGGAAUGGGGAGGAAAUAAAUGAAAUCAUAGGUAUGGUGAUUUAAAUAGGAGUCCAAAGCUUCUUGUUUUCGUACAUGUUUGGUGUUUAUCAUGUCAGCAGUCAGUGGUGCCCUCAAAGGUCUUGUUCUUAGAGUUCUCUAGGAACUGGGUCUAAAUAUCUCAGGAUGCAUAGUGGGACCUCACAUUUGGCAAAAAGAAUUAAGAGUAAAAAUUAUGUGAGGUCGAUCACACUUGAAGACCUUUUAUCCUUUCUGAUUUAGUUGGUGCACAGCAGUACAUAUGGUUCCCAAUUUGCUAAGAUGCUCAACUCCAUACCAGAGUGAACUCCAAUGCGAAUCCAUAUUGGGAGGCCAGGAAGAUGCUCCAGCUCAAAGGUCCCCAUGAAGCUGAGGAUUUCCAAGGCCAUCUUGGCAAUGUCUAUUGCAUGCCGAUUGCCAUUUCUCUUAGGCAAACCACUAGCCACCAUGUACGCAUCACCGAUGGUUUCCACCUGUGGAAACAGUUUCUCAUGAGUGCCUCUGCCCCUUUGAAAAGUAUAGAAAGUAAACAGAAGCAGUUAAUCACAUGUCAAACACAAAAAGUGAUUUGGGAACACAGUAUGAGCAUAGCCCUUUACACUUUUUCUGGGGCCAGUUGGAUCAGUUCUAUGCUGAUUUCUUCAGGGUUUUUAUAGUCCAGUUAAUGGGUGAUAAAAUAGCUAUAAAGGAAUUUAGCCAUUUAAAAGUACUUCAUAAUUAUAUAAAUUGUCCAGAUGUGGUGACAGUUCUAGAAAUGUUCAAAUAAAUAAUCUGAAUGGUUUUAUGUAAUUUGAGGAACACCCUUAGUUUCCUGAAAAUUAAUCCUUUAGCAAAUGUCAACAUACUAUUUAACAGAAUAUUGUACUUUGUAAUAUGUAAUUGUAUACAUUCUUGUAGUAUGAUUUUCUAUUUAUUAUAACCCCAGUGUCUUCUCUGCUUCAUUUGCAGUCAGCCUAAACACUGCCCAUUUUUUGGAGGUGAUUUAAGAGUAUGCCAUUUUGUCUAAAUUUAAUACUUCAAAUUAAUUCCUGCUGAACUUCCUGUUGUAUCUUUUUUGCUGCUUCUUAAAGUUGAAUGGUAAUUUUGACUUCUCACUCCUCUAAUCCUUCUACUUCUCUUCACUUUUAGCUCAGAUUCAACCACCAAUUCACUAAAUGUGAAACUAGAGCGGUCAAGAGUAGUAACAGAAACAACCAAUUCAGGCUCUGAUGACCUUGAGUUGUACAAUUAAUGGUUUCAGCCUGUUAGGUGAUGUGGUUACCUUGUAGACAUCAUGAUGAUCAACAAUGUGGUCAAAACUCUUAUAGAUGUCAUUAAGCAUGUCCACCACUUCCAUGGGGGUGCUGUAUUUGCAGAUAGUAGUGAAACCUACAAUGUCACUGAAGUAGAUUGUAACUUCCUCAUAUAGUUCCGGCUCCACAAAGCCUUUCUCCUUCAGAGACUUUACCACUAGCCUAGAUGAACGAAGGGAAAAAAAAUGCCUUCAACUUCAGCAAAUUUCUUCUUGUUUCACAUAAAUCUUUCAGGUAGUAGUGAUUGUCUACCAAGAAUUCUAGAAUUUGAGACUUCCAGUGAAUUGAGUGAAUCGGAAACAGAGGUUGUGUAUAUCAUAUACAUGAACAUAUUACACAAAUACACAUAUAAUGCAUGUUGUGAACACAGAUGAAUACAAGCAGGUUCAACAUUAACUUAGUGUUUGAUUAUUAAUCCUAAUACACAUAAAUAGAUAACUUUAAUAUCCUCAAAACUCUCAUACAUAUACAUACUUGUCCACUUUUUGCUUCUCUAUUGAUAAUCAACCUCUUACAGAUGUGGCUCUACAUGCAGAAGCUGAGGAGAGUGUGGUAUUACUUAAAUCACCACAGGUAUCAGAUCUGAAUUUCUCAACAAAGUUGAUAGUUUUACUUUCCUGGCAUAUGUAAUAUGGCAUUGCUUAAUAUUACUAUGAAAUAAUGAUGCAUUUAAAUAUAAAUUUUGAUAUAUUCUGAACCAGAGUUCAUUUGAUAUUUUGAACCAGAUUUGGGUCCUUUGUAAAGCAGAAUCAAUCAUGUAAAUAAAUUAAAUCAUGCUAAAACUGUAGAAGUCAAAUUAAAGCAACUUUUAGAAUAUCUUUGCUGAAUGAGGAGCAGCAUAUCAGAUUCAAGAUUGAAGGAAGAGAACCAGAAGAAGGGACUCCAUACUUGGUGUGCCAAGUUACCUCUUCAUUGAGAAAAGGAAGUGAGGGCUGACAUGAAGUGGGAUGGUCCCUGUCUGUCCUUGGCAUCACUUUGUAGUGGCCCUCAGUAUGGAACCACUAGAAUCAGAAACUGGAAGCUGGGAGGUUCCACGGAAGUCAUUGAAAAGAAAUCUUUAUUUUUACAGAUGAGAAAGUUGAGGUCUAAAAAAGUAUGACUUCCCUAAGUUCCCACAGCCGAUUAGGGACAGAGCCAGGGCUAGAAUUCAGGAAGCCUUCAGUCCCACCCAUCAGUCUUUUUUUGCAUUACACUCCCUGCACAACCCAG